UUGUCCGGCGGAAGAGGCGGCGGUGGUGAGACUCCGGUGAGGACUCCAUCUCGACGGGAAGAUUCUCCGGCGGUGCGGGCGAAAGUUGGCGAUCGGCGACGAGGAGAGAAUCGAGGGAGAGGAGUGGAAGAAGAAAGAAAGGCGAGGGCUAAGAUGGGGGCGGACGACGGUGGUGGUCGCGGCGGUCAUGGGACGAAGGCGAAGCAGCAUGGCCCCUAGUAUGUCUAUCCGCUAUCUCUCUGCUAUCGCGGAGACUGAGAUUCUGACCAGUUUCAAUAACUAGAGCGCAGUC
rnacentral:lncRNA from 1 species